UGUGUAGGCGGUUCUUUAAGUUUGGUGUGAAAUCUCCCGGCUCAACCGGGAGGGUGCGCCGAAUACUGAGGGACUAGAGUACGGGAGAGGAAAGUGGAAUUCCUGGUGUAGCGGUGAAAUGCGUAGAUAUCAGGAGGAACACCGGUGGUGUAGACGGCUUUCUGGACCGUAACUGACGCUGAGACACGAAAGCGUGGGUAGCAAACA
rnacentral:rRNA from 1 species